GACUACUUGAGUACACUCGCUCAACUCAGGGCCCAGCGUGUCGCACCGAGCGCCGUGGUGGACACUUUUGACAAAGUUUACGCUGAAGCUAUGGACAGUAUCAUGAGGAUCCUGGAUGAUUGACCGGCGAUGUCGAAGAAGCACUUGUAUACGAUCCUCCAAGGAAGCAGUAAUGCACAGCGCCAUUACAGCUUCUAUUACUGCAUGUCACACCAACGGGGUGUUA